CGGGGGGAGGAGGCGAUCGCGGGCCGGCGCAUGUCGGCUUUGAGGAAAGUCCGGACUCCACAGAGCAAGACGCUGGGUAACGCCCAGGAGGGGAAACCCUACGGAAAGCGCCACAGAAAAUAUACCGCUCGCCCCGGCGAGUAAGGGUGAAAUGGUGGGGUAAGAGCCCACCGCGUUUCUAGGCGACUAGGACGGCACGGCAAGCCCCGUCUGGAGCAACGUCAAGUAGGAGAGCCAGGAACUGCUCGUUCCGUUUCGCCUUCGGGCGGGUAACUCUCGGGUAGGCGGCGCGAGGCCGUUGGUAACAACGGUCCCAGAGAAAUGAUCGCCCUCGACAAAAUCCGGCUUACACUUCCCCCCGCAGG
rnacentral:RNase_P_RNA from 1 species